rnacentral:rRNA from 1 species
UACGAAGGGGGCUAGCGUUGCUCGGAAUUACUGGGCGUAAAGGGCGCGUAGGCGGCUUCGAUAGUCGGGCGUGAAAUGCCUGGGCUCAACCCAGGAAUUGCGCUCGAUACUGCGAGGCUUGAGUGUGGGAGAGGAUGGUGGAAUUCCCAGUGUAGAGGUGAAAUUCGUAGAUAUUGGGAAGAACACCAGCGGCGAAGGCGGCCAUCUGGACCACAACUGACGCUGAGGCGCGAAAGCGUGGGGAGCAAACAGG